AUGCACCUAGCUGAUGUAGUACUUCUGCCAUGGCCAAGAACUCUGUGGGGAGCGUGGAGACCACUGGUAGAUGCUCGCUGCUGGUAAGGUUCUGCUCUGAUCCCCGUGAUCAAAAACAUUAUGGUUGCCUCUGUGUGGGGACCACUAAUCGAUGGAGCUGAUUUCAGCUUCUGCUGUGAUCAAGAUUGUCAUGUUGCCUCUGUGUCAAGAAAGAGACUAAGAAUGGACCCACUCGAGAUGAUGUCAGUGUCUUCCCUGGCCUCCCGCCCGCUGUUCGCCUCUGUAUGUCAGGAGCAUGCACACCAUUAAAGGACACAUUUGGGCUGAUUGCAGCAUCUUCCAUGGUCAGAGCUCCGUGGUUGCAUCGGUGUGUGAGGAGCAUGGAGAGUCACGUGAGUAAUGAAUGGAUGCACUGCAUCUGAUGUCAACAUCUUCCCUGGGAAAGAGCUCUGGGACUGCGUCUGUAUUAGGGGCAUGGAGGCCACUGUGAGUAAUAGCCAAUGUUCUUUUUGCUUUAACUGUGUUUUAUUUUUUAAGAUUUUCCCUGUAUUAUUAAAAAGUGUUACUAUCUAU